AACGUAGGUGGCAAGCGUUAUCCGGAUUUACUGGGCGUAAAGGGUGUGCAGGCGGUCUGUCAAGUGGUGUAUGAAAUCGCCCGGCUCAACCGGGCGCGGCUAGGCCAGACUGACAGACUAGAGACUGAACGAGGGGGGUGGAAUUCCGGGUGUAGUGGUGAAAUGCGUAGAGAUCCGGAGGAACCCCAGAGGCGAAGGCGGCCCCCUGGGUCAGUGCUGACGCUCAGACACGACAGCAUGGGGAGCGAACGGG
rnacentral:rRNA from 1 species